rnacentral:lncRNA from 1 species
GCAGAGGAGUCUGCUUUCUGCUGAUCUCCAGGAAGCUGCAUUAGCCUCUCUGAACCUGUCUCUGCUUUCCCCAAGCUUUGCUGAGAUCCAGGUCACGGAAGAGAAAUUCACUGGGCUUUCAGAAAGCAUAAGAGAUGAAGAAUAUUUUAAGAAUCCUAUGGAACAUGAUGGGGACAAUUACAACAGAAAACACUUUAGUGAUGAGGAGAAACUACACAAACUGAUACUGGAUCCAUUGCCUUUGACAGCAAAUAUGGGUUGGUGGACACAAACCUGUAUUCAGUUCCUCAUACUGGAGGAAGAUAAAGAAUCAGGAGGAAAUGCCAGUGAAGAGGCAAAAUGGAGGAAGGGGAACAAUGAAGAUUCCAGUUCUUCUAUUACUGUACUUCAUGUUUUACAUAAAAACAGGUGGAAGAAUAAUUUUCCCCUUUAACCUGCUGUGUGGCUUUCUGUGAGAUUCAUCAGUGCACAAGAGGAUGGUGAGGAAGAAAGCAGGAGGAAAAUCUGCUUGAAGAGUUGCCUUCCUAAAUUAAGUGGGAUAAAGAG